rnacentral:tRNA from 1 species
UGGCUCAGUGGUUAAGAGCUUGGCUGCUAAUCAAGAGGCUGGUGGUUUGAAUCCACC